UUACGGCCACAUCACGUUGAAACAACGCUUCCCAUACGAUCACCGAAUUUAAGCAACGUUGAUCCUGGUCAGUAUUUAAAUGGGUGACCUCUUGGAAAUACCAGGUACUGUAAG